UACGGGGGGAGCAAGCGUUGUUCGGAUUUACUGGGCGUAAAGGGCGCGUAGGCGGCCACUGCAAGUCAGUUGUGAAAUCUCCGGGCUUAACCCGGAAAGGUCAACUGAUACUGCAGGGCUAGAGUGCAGAAGGGGCAACUGGAAUUCUCGGUGUAGCGGUGAAAUGCGCAGAUAUCAGGAAGAACACCCGUGGCGAAGGCGGCUCUCUGGAACGCAACUGACGCUGAGACGCGAAAGCGUGGGGAGCAAACAGG
rnacentral:rRNA from 1 species